CACGUAGGGGACGAGCGUUGUCCGGAUUCACUGGGCGUAAAGCGCGCGUAGGCGGCCUGGAAAGUCGGAUGUGAAAACCUGGGGCUCAACCCCAGGCGUGCACCCGAUACUCCCGGGCUGGAGGCAGGUAGGGGAGAUCGGAAUUCCUGGUGUAGCGGUGAAAUGCGCAGAUAUCAGGAGGAACACCGGUGGCGAAGGCGGAUCUCUGGGCCGUAACUGACGCUGAGGAGCGAAAGCGUGGGGAGCGAACAGG
rnacentral:rRNA from 1 species